AAGGAUCCAUUAAGAAAUGCUUGAGGAUGCUGCUGGCCUAUUGCGGGCAUGUUCACUCCCUGAAAAUCCCCUUUAUCACCUUCUCACCUUUGUCCCUAUUUGUAGGUCCUUGGGGGAGAUGGAAGUUGCUUUCACCUUACCUUGGGCUUAUGUUUAAUUUUUAUCCUUUGAUAAACCCCUUUGAAUGCCAUGUCCCAUUAUUAAAUUGAUAAUAAACCCCACUUUCAACAAUGGAUUUCUUGGCUUUCGCAUCGGUGAAGAACGCAACGAAAUGCGAUACGUAAAGUGAAUUGCCGAAUUCCGUUAAUCAUUGGAUCUUUGGACGCCCCCUGCGCCUUUUGGUACUUCGAAGGGCAUGCCCGUUUGAGUGUUUUUUGAAUAUUUCCAACUUUGCCCUGUGGGACUUUUCCGAGGGUUAAGUUUGGAUUUUGGCGGUUGCCCAUUUUUCAUCAUUUGGUUUGAGGAAGUUGGCUCCUUUUAAAAACAUUAACGGACAAGGAGAAAUCCCAUUUUUCUUUGGGUGCUGGUAUUGAUUAUUUAGUCUAUGCCUGUAAAGACCCUUGAGGAGGAUCGUCUCUAUUUUGGUUUGCUCAUAAAAAUAAAGGUCACCUUUUACGUGGUGACUUUUUCUUGACAAAUUACCUCAAAUCAGGUAGGACUACCC
rnacentral:rRNA from 1 species